rnacentral:rRNA from 1 species
GAUGAACGCUGACAGAAUGCUUAACACAUGCAAGUCUUUGGCGAAUCUGUGCUUGCACCGGCUAGCCAAGGCGGACGGGUGAGUAACGCGUAAAGAACUUGCCCUGCAGACAGGGAUAACAGACGGAAACGACUGAUAACACCUGAUACAGUUGCCGGCACGCAUGUGCCUGGCAAUGAAAAGAGAUGCUGCAGGAGAGCUUUGCGUCCUAUUAGCUUGUUGGUGAGGUGACGGCUCACCAAGGCGAUGAUAGGUAGCCGGCCUGAGAGGGUGAACGGCCACAAGGGGACUGAGAUACGGCCCUUACUCCUACGGGAGGCAGCAGUGGGGAAUAGUGGACAAUGGGGGCAACCCUGAUCCAGCAAUUCUGUGUGCACGAAGAAGGUUUUCGGAUUGUAAAGUGCUUUCAGCAGGGAAGAAGAAAGUGACGGUACCUGCAGAAGAAGCGACGGCUAAAUACGUG